AGAACGAACGCUGGCGGCAUGCCUAAUACAUGCAAGUCGAACGAACACUUCGGUGUUAGUGGCGCACGGGUGCGUAACGCGUGGGAAUCUGCCCUUGGGUUCGGAAUAACAGUUGGAAACGACUGCUAAUACCGGAUGAUAUCGAAAGAUCAAAGAUUUAUCGCCCAGGGAUGAGCCCGCGUAGGAUUAGCUAGUUGGUAGAGGUAAAGGCUACACCGAAGGCGACGAUCCUUAGCUGGUCUGAGAGGAUGAUCAGCCCACACUGGGACUGAGACCACGGCCCAGACUCCCGUACGGGAGCCAGCGAGGUAGGGAAUAGUUGGAACAAGUGGGGCGACAA
rnacentral:rRNA from 1 species